AAGGCCCCCACCCCAGUCGUCUGAUUUAGAGCAUAAAUUGGCUUUUAAAUAUUCCUGUGUACUAACUCUCCCACCCCUUCCCAUCAAAAUGAAGCUGAUCCCCAGGAUUUUUGGUAAAGUCACAGUGAGACCACUGACAUUCUUCAUGUUAACUUUCAGGAAGCAUGUAACUUUUUAAAAUCACCUAAUUCCUCUUUUGUUAAACAAGUAAACACAAAACCAUGCAUGCAGGGACCACCAGCCUGUACUGCCUGCUGUGCUCCCAGCUGCAGGAGCAACAUGCCUGGGGAGUGCGGCACAGGAGGACGGCUCCGUGUGAGCAGCCCUCUGCAGGCCCCAACCCUGACAGCACACCGUGAGGUCUGCCAGCAGGCUGGCGUCACGGGCACCGUAGUGCUCCAUGUGCUGUGCUGGUCAGUGGGGCAGCCCAGAAAGGUUUCCCAAGUUUGCUCCUUCCUCCCUUCCUUCUAGCAAGAAGUGUGAUUGCUGCAGGAUGUAUCAGAUUGUGAAGUUAACUUUGAUAUGGUGUUAAAGCUGUUGAAUUAUCGUGGUGAUCAAGCAGAAAAAAAGAAAUCUUUAUGCAGAGAUGUCAGGGAGAUGGGGAAAUGGUGUAAUGUGUGAAGUUAAGAAGACACAGCCUUAUACUGUGCGCAGAAGCCAACACAACGUAAGAGCUGUUUCGCAGCUGAUAAUAAUUUGGCUUCAGAAGUGGAAGGUGAUGCCACAGAGCAGAGCUGCAGUGUGAGCACGGGGGCUGCCAGCACUCGAGUGCACUCAGUUGCUGCAGCUCUUUCACCAGAUGUGCCACUCGCUUAAGACCAAUCUGCUAGCACGGGUAGGUGGAAAGCUGGAAAACAGUGCUGUCGGAGGCACAGCAGCCUAUGGAGAGCGCUGCAGAACAGCCUGCAGGAGGCAGCUGGUCCGGGAGCAUUUGUUGUCAGACAGACUAGGGAAGUGCUCGGAGGCAUCUGGGAGCAGAAGGCACAGCGGCUGCCUGGUGCUGCUCUGGGAGCUCCUGCCUGUCUCAGCGACAGAAACAGCCGAGCUGUGGUUCCGUGCCAAUGGGGAAAAGAAGCAAACAUACGUGCGUACAGUCCUACAUUUUACUUGUACAUACACAAUCUAUGUGUAUGCACCCCAUUCCACAGAGGGACGUGCACUCAAGAGAGCUGCAAGUACAUACAGCCUUCUGUCACUACUCGUGAUAAUCUACACCCAAUUAGCAAACAGUAUUCUUGGCCCUAGAAAGUAUUUUGCUCACUGAUAUACUGCAGGUGCAUUACGUGCAUCCCUGAUACUCAGAGCCGAAACACCCCGCAGAUGGUGCAGUACGUGCAAUUUCAAAAAGAAACAAACCAACCCACAAAACAACCGCCAGCACUGCGGCUGUGGGUUUAAGUUUUCCAAGAGCUUGUUGUAGACAAUGUAGCAUAGAUUGAUUUUUUUUCUCAUCCCACCAUAGCAGGAGAUAUUUUCCCGUGCGCUUGAUAAUCUGCUGGAAUUAAAACACCGCGCAGAUCUGUAACUACAUCACUGCGUUUAGGCAGCGUCUUUCAUAAAACCCUCAAUCCCAAUCCCCGCGGCAUCCACCCACUGCAUACCGUUGGUCCGUAGCCGGCACGGUGACGCUUCAGAAACCGUCCUGGAGAGCAGAGCCUCCCGCCUGCCUCCCCACACACACACACACCGCAUCCCUUCCUAUUUUCCGAGACCAGUAUUUUGUGGAUGCUCAGAAAAGGGCAUCUCGGCAGGAAACGGCGUUCUUUACGAGUAACACAGCUGAGCUUUGCGUACGCCGCGGACAAACGCGCCGGCCGCAGCAGCCACGGAAGCCGCAGCGGAUGGUAAAGCCCCGGCAGCUGCAAAAAGUUGCCCUGUAAUUACUCGCCUCGGAGCCGGCUGACGAGUAGCCCGCAGAAGCGGCGAACGCGGCCGUUUAAGGAAACGAGGAGAAAUCUCACCUGCGCUCCGCGGUCAGGGAACCCUCGUUAAGGUGGAGAGAGGGGGAUGCAUUCAUCCAACAAAGGCAGCUAUAGCAGAAAUGCUACGUCAGUGCUUUGACCAGAGAUGAAGCACCUGGAGGAAGGCAGUGCCAGCCCAGAGGAGCUCAACUGCAAUGUACCUGAAUGACCAGGAGGGCUGGAGCCAGGAUCCACCUCUUCCCGGACCUCCUCAAAGGGCUGGCAGUGGAGGUGAGAGUCUCUUGCUGGAGAUCCCUGCCUACCCGAGGCCUGAAGGAGCACAGAGGAGGAAUGUGCAUCAGGAGCAUGGUCACCAUGGUGACAGCAGGGACACAGCGGGAGCGUCCCUUGAAAACAUCGGUUUGGAUCACAAUUAAUGCGGGAAAUGAACAGCUGAAGAACAGCAGAAAAACCUCUUAAAUUAUUCAGCUGGAAUAAAUUGUCAGCGGUGGUUCUGAAGCACGAGGCAGCAAUGGGGUCUUUCCUGGGAACCGCAGGAACGGCACCGCCGGAGGGCGGGCAGUGCACGAGCAGCCCAGCCCUGGUUCUGCCUGUGUCCCUUUGCGUAUAAUACUCCGAGGGUGCUGUGAGCAUUUCCAAACACUGGCACAACACCUCUCCACAAAUGCCAACUGUAAUGGUGCUCUGGAGCAGCAGAGCCAGCAAAAAUGGCAGCACUGGUCCUGGUAACACAGCCAGACCUGGCAAACUAGAAAGAAGUAACACGAGUGGUGUAACGACUGCCUGUUCUGAGCGUGCACCAAACGCCAUGGCAACUCAUCAGUAACUGCACAGCUCCUGUAGAGCUGCUCAGGACCUGCAAAGAUGCACUGCUACAGUAGGAGUAACCACACUUUAAUUAUUAAAGCAAAACAUUUCUGAACUCAGUCCAAUCGUGGUGCUGUUGUGUUACCCAGCAGUACAUGAAAGCCAGUUUGUCUCAUUCCCUGUAUUGACUCUGAAAUUACUCGUUGAAUCAUUAUUUCUAAUUUUGUAGGGACUUUCUGCUGAGGGGCCGAUGCCUCAUACCAAGAAAACACAAUGCCUACAAAAAGCACUAUUUAUAUAAAACAACUGAUGCACGACAAGAGAGACAUCAAAUUACCACCUCGGUGUUGCUUAUACAAACGCAUCGGGAGGUGCUGAUGAACCGCAGUCCCUUCUGCACGGCUCGUUCUCCCAAGCUUUGAGAGCUGUGACAAAUUACAUUAAUUCAUCUGCGCAGAUCAGACGCGUUUUUAAGCUGCUCCAUGACAGUUCCCAUCAGCCUUCCUAUUUGCCGUAAGGCCGCGUGCAUCGGCCGGGAAAAAACCUCCCCCGGCGACCGCGGAGCGCCGCGCACUGCGGGCCGCCGCCGCCCGCGCCCAACCCGAGCGCUGCGCUUCAGCAGCGUGCCGCUGCUGCCACCUGGCGGCCGGAACGUCAACCUGCAGGCGGAGCAGCGCCGCGCGCGCACGGAGCUCUUUGCGACCGAGUCAGGCCCGAAUCGCCUCGCGGUGCUCUGCAGGGCAGGCAACGAGCAUCCCCAGCAGCUCGAUGUUUACAUGAUGACGCAGAGCAGUAAGGCUCAGAUGUGACAACACUGUCCCGCCAUAGGCACACGAACAGGAACUCUGAAGUAAGCAGGGCAUCAUCAUUAACAAUUGCUAUCAAGUUGCAGCACGGGACAGUUGAAAGGCAGGUGUGUGGGAGGGCCAUUGAGCUGCGCUGUAACACCGUGGGGCAGCAGGAGGUGAGCAAAUGGAAGACAAAGCAAAGCAGUAAUGCAUUCUGCAGCACAGAAAAUGAAGGACUGCUGCCUGGUGAGAAUCACAGAAUCACAAGGUUGGAAACGACCUACAAGAUCAUCUAGUCCAACCGUCUCCUCUUCGCCAUUGCCACCACUAGCACUAAAGGAAGUUGGCCAAGCCUAUAAGCAGUCCCAUAUCUAAAGAAAACACCUUAAUUCAGUACAUAAUUUAGUAAUACACUUCUAGCAGAUAAAUGCUGUAAAGACUAUUUUGCUCUUAUGCUCAGAUUCAUGUUUGAUUGGAUGUUCCGUAGUUCUUAAGAAAAUGAAGAGUAGCACGGCUUCCAAGUGCCAUUCAUCGUGCAUGUCUAAGACAUGGAAAAUUAGGAUCCUGAUUUGAACAUCUUAAGAUCAAAAUUAUAUGGAGUAAGAGCUGUACCAAUUGUGUACACAGCGUGCUGUAAUUGCAGCUACUUCUGCAGUAAGUUCUGAUGAAUGCCUGAAACAUGCAAGGCUGAGCAGAAUGAGGUCCUCGCUUGUGCUAAAACUGAAUGAGCUUCCUGCCCAGAAAACACAGCCCCAACCUGGAGGUCAGUCUGAGUUAAUGACUUCCUGGGAAAAGGAUUUGCACUAUUUGCUUUUACUCUUCACCUGAUGAGCAGACUUAGCAGCUGAGUACUCUCAAACACACCACUUAUAGCUGAGACUGCCUAUACAUCCAAAAGCUAACACUUUACCUCGAUUGCUGCCCUCGAAAUCCUAUGGAACCUGAAUUCAAAUGUCUGAUCCCACAGCCUUCACACCUCGUUUGAACUGUGAGAAUGGAGGAGGCAGUGAGAUCUGUUACCAGGUGUUUUUCUAGAACCAUACAACAGUUUGGUUGAAAGGAUCCUCAAAGGGCUCCCACUAUGGAGCCCCCCGGGUCAGGGCCCCAUCCACAGCCUGGGGCUCCUCCAGGGAUGAGGCAGCACAGCUGCAACCCCAGGGCUCCCUAAAGUUCUUUCUCUCCCAAGUGAAGUCCAUGCUCUUUGGGUAAAUGCAGCAGAGGAGGGUGAUGGCAGUGCCAUCUGCUGGGCCACAAGCACUACGGAACAAUGAAAGACGGCGAAGAAAAAAAAUGAAUUCAGCCCUUCUGAUGAGGGUGUGAGAGGAGUGCGAUCUCUGCCCAGAGAUGCUGCUCCCUCAGCUGCUCACCCUUGCACCAAGUUGAGGAGUGCACAGCUUGCCCCUGAGCUCCAGAGCUCACGCCUGGGCCAGGCUGUGACACAGCAGAUCCCACAAAGUAACUUUAUGGCUGCAAUAGUCGGCUUUUAACUUCAAAGUCGCCCAUCUGUCAGGUUUGUAAAUAUUUAUAUUCCUCUUUAAAGGUACAUCUUAACUGUUUACCUUUAAAUCUUGACAUUGCCUCACACCACGAAGUUUAACUUAACAACCUUGGGCUGAUACUGCUCCAUACACGAGGAACUGUCAAGAGUUUCACACCGCAUAACAACUAGAUUUCAUGUCUCACACAGUGAGAACUGCUCACAACCUGCAGCUCUGCUGUGCUGCAGCCCGAGUCCCCCACCAUCCAGCCCUGUGCCAUCACCCUGACUGUAAAAUGCCCACAGUUCUCAGAGCCAGGUGUGCUGCCCACUGUGCGGCUAUGCUCCGAGAGGCAGCUGGGGAGGUGCACAGCUCUGCUUUGUUCUCAUUAGAUUAACACUGCUGCAUAUCUUUUCCUCACCCAUAGAGUCAAAAUAAAGAUGUCCCAGUUCAUUCACGAGGUGUAUUUUGACGGCCACUGGCUGGUUUGAACAAACGAUUCAUUCCUCUCCUUGCAAACUCUUAGGGAAAACGUUCUUCUCACCCUGCCCAGCCCCAGCUUUGUGCCCUGCGGGGAGGCGGCGCUCCUCACUGCAGGGCCGGGCAAUGGAGCACAGCCUCCGGGCUGCAGGGCCGGAUGGCCUCAGAGCCGCGGAGUGCAGCCCCAGCGCCGGACACCUUGCGGGGAUCGAUGCGGCCACACUUGGUGCCAGCAGGCGGCUCUCCAGUACGGACAGGACCCGGCUGCAGCUGAAGGCCCUUCCUGGUUUCACUUGUUUGGUGUCGGUUACAAGGCAGAAAUAUUUAUGUUGUUUGUACUUGAUGGACGUAGAGGUUGGAGUUGUCU